GACGAACCGUGCGAACGUUGUUCGGAAUCACUGGGCUUAAAGGGCGCGUAGGCGGCCAUUCAAGUCAGAGGUGAAAGCCCAAGGCUCAACCUUGGAAUUGCCUUUGAUACUGUUUGGCUUGAGACCGGAAGAGGUUAGUGGAACUGCGAGUGUAGAGGUGAAAUUCGUAGAUAUUCGCAAGAACACCAGUGGCGAAGGCGGCUAACUGGUCCGGUUCUGACGCUGAGGCGCGAAAGCGUGGGGAGCGAACAGG
rnacentral:rRNA from 1 species